GAGAAACGAUGAUUCACUCCCUUUAUACAAGUCAGUUCAUUGGCAGUUCAAGUGUGGCAAGAUAUAAACACUUGAGUUGAGCCCUGGAGGUGGAAGGUAACCCUACCAAUAUAUGUCAUGAUACGGAAAGGCUGCUUUCUUUUUUCACAAAAUGGCAGACUGGUGAGUAGAAAACCACAGGGAUGUAUUGUCGAAAGCAUGGAUAAGGUCUUCUUCUAUUAGUUAAGAUUAAGCCUCGCCAUCUGCCAUGUAACUUCUGAUCUAGCUGCCUCUGGAGAAAGACUUGAUCUGGAAUAUGUUCUGAACUUAUUAUUUG
rnacentral:lncRNA from 1 species